CCUACGGGUGGCAGCAGUGAGGAAUAUUGGUCAAUGGACGCAAGUCUGAACCAGCCAUGCCGCGUGCAGGAAGACGGCCCUAUGAGUUGUAAACUGCUUUUGUACGAGGGUAAACGCAGAUACGCGUAUCUGUCUGAAAGUAUCGUACGAAUAAGGAUCGGCUAACUCCGUGCCAGCAGCCGCGGUAAUACGGAGGAUUCAAGCGUUAUCCGGAUUUAUUGGGUUUAAAGGGUGCGUAGGCGGUCGGAUAAGUUAGAGGUGAAAUCCCGAGGCUCAACUUCGGAAUUGCCUAUGAUACUGUUCGGCGAGAGAGUAGUUGCGGUAGGCGGAAUGUAUGGUGUAGCGGUGAAAUGCUUAGAGAUCAUGCAGAACACCGAUUGCGAAGGCAGCUUACCAAGCUACUUCUGACGUUGAGGCACGAAAGCGUGGGGAGCAAACAGGAUUAGAUACCCUUGUAGUC
rnacentral:rRNA from 1 species